GUGGGAAUCCCUUCUGCGCAGGGGCAGAUUGGCCAUAGACCUUACAGGGAAAUUUCCCAGUGGGCCAAUGCCCAAGGCGCUGCCUGGGCCCUCCUUACAGCCGGCCAGUGGAUGUUUUUGGAGAUGUAUUUUGUGCUGUAGGCAGUAUUU